rnacentral:lncRNA from 1 species
GGUGAACACAUCGUUCACAACACCUACAGGUUGCGAGCCUGCUAGUGUUCCACUGGACUGUCUAGAAUAGUCCGUGGUUAUCAUCCAUACUCUGAUGAAUGACAGGGCCAUCAUUUGGGUAAAAAGGGUUCUCACAUCGUCCACCUCUCACCCUCACCUCACGAUCUAUUUCACCUCUCAACUCAUCAUCCGACUCAUAUUUCAUCAAUUACAUCUACCCAUGUCUUACCCCAACAUUUUCGUAGAUAUAUAAUACAUUUAUACAGUUUAAAUCAUUUCAAACGUGUAUAAAAUCGUUCAUCCAACAUAGACAGCAAGUACUCAGUUAAUAUGCACACAUAGCACGUAAUUUAUAUAAAAUACUUCAUACAUAUGUGUAAGAUGAAAGGGACCAUGCACUCACUUGAUUAGGUGGUGACUCGGUACUUGAACAGCACUUCGUGAUCUCAAAACAAUUUUUUAUCCUUGACAAAAACCUAGUAUUAAUACCAUUAGAGUUUAGUUUUAACGUUAUCUCAAAACAUAACUUACAUUCAUUAUCACUAGUGAUCUAUAUCUUCUCAAUCUCUCAGUGUAAUGUCACUUCAUAUCGACACAUGUGAUAUAAAUAAACUGAGUGGGUCAGGUUGGGAAACCUGGUGAGUACAUAGGGUUUUCAACCCACAAUAAUAUAAUUAUUAUGUUUAAUCAUCAAACAGUUAACCCAAUUACCCAUCCCCAUUAUCUUCUUUAUUCUUAAGGAUCUACCCUAAGAAUCAGCUAUUUCUUGUUCAUUCAUUCCUAAGAAGUAUCCUAAGGAAUAGGUAUGAAUUCCAUCGUUGUAAAUGACACAUCUGUCAGGCACAACUGCUAGUUCUGUCAGUUAGGCGCAGCUGCCAAAAUUGUGACAUUCUCUAUGGGGCGCAUCUGCCGGAAUAGUCCUUUUAGGCACAUCUGCCGGGGUUAUGAGGUUCUCUAUUAGGCGCUUCUGCCGGUAGAGUCCUUUAGGCACAUCUGCCAGGGUUUUAUUGACAGUAUCGUUUUCGAGAGUCCACUCACAAUACAUAUCAAUAGGUUUUUAGAGUACACCGGUGAACACAUCGUUCACAACACCUACAGGUUGCGAGCCUGCUAGUGUUCCACUGGACUGUCUAGAAUAGUCCGUGGUUAUCAUCCAUACUCUGCUGAAUGACAGGGCCAUCAUUUGGGAAAAAAGGCUUCUCACAUCGUCCACCUCUCACCCUCACCUCACGGUCUAUUUCACCUCUCAACUCAUCAUCCGACUCAUAUUUCAUCUAUUAAAUCUACCCAUGUCUUACCCCAACAUUUUCGUAGAUAUAUAAUACAUAUACAGUUUAAAUCAUUUCAAACGUGUAUAAAAUCGUUCAUCCAGCAUAGACAGCAAGUACUCAGUUAAUAUGCACACAUAGCACGUAAUUUAUAUAAAAUACUUCAUACAUAUGUGUAAGAUGAAAGGGACCAUGCACUCACUUGAUUAGGUGGUGACUCGGUACUUGAACAGCACUUCGUGAUCUCAAAACAAUUUUUUAUCCUUGACAAAAACCUAGUAUUAAUACCAUUAGAGUUUAGUUUUAACGUUAUCUCAAAACAUAACUUACAUUCAUUAUCACUAGUGAUCUAUAUCUUCUCAAUCUCUCAGUGUAAUGUCACUUCAUAUCGACACAUGUGAUAUAAAUAAACUGAGUGGGUCAGGUUGGGAAACCUGGUGAGUACAUAGGGUUUUCAACCCACAAUAAUAUAAUUAUUAUGUUUAAUCAUCAAACAGUUAACCCAAUUACCCAUCCCCAUUAUCUUCUUUAUUCUUAAGGAUCUACCCUAAGAAUCAGCUAUUUCUUGUUCAUUCAUUCCUAAGAAGUAUCCUAAGGAAUAGGUAUGAAUUCCAUCGUUGUAAAUGACACAUCUGUCAGGCACAACUGCUAGUUCUGUCACUUAGGCGCAGCUGCCAAAAUUGUGACAUUCUCUAUGGGGCGCAUCUGCCGGAAUAGUCCUUUUAGGCACAUCUGCCGGGGUUAUGAGGUUCUCUAUUAGGCGCUUCUGCCGGUAGAGUCCUUUAGGCACAUCUGCCAGGGUUUUAUUGACAGUAUCGUUUUCGAGAGUCCACUCACAAUACAUAUCAAUGGGUUUUUAGAGUACACCGGUGAACACAUCGUUCACAACACCUACAGGUUGCGAGCCUGCUAGUGUUCCACUGGACUGUCUAGAAUAGUCCGUGGUUAUCAUCCAUACUCUGCUGAAUGACAGGGCCAUCAUUUGGGAAAAAAGGCUUCUCACAUCGUCCACCUCUCACCCUCACCUCACGGUCUAUUUCACCUCUCAACUCAUCAUCCGACUCANAUCUACCCAUGUUUUACCCCAACAUUUUCGUAGAUAUAUAAUACAUAUACAGUUUAAAUCAUUUAAAACGUGUAUAAAACCGUUCAUCCAGCAUAGACAACAAGUACUCUGUUAAUAUGCACACAUAGGACGUAAUUUAUAUAAAAUACUUCAUACAUAUGUGUAAGAUGAAAUGGACCAUGCACUCACUUGAUUAGGUGGUGACUCGGUACUUGAACAACACUUCGUUAUCUCAAAACAAUUUUUUAUCCUUGACCAAAACCUAGUAUUAAUACCAUUAGAGUUUAGUUUUAACGUUAAUCGCGACUAAUUAAUAGUCUAGCUAUUAUUACUAUUAUAGAAGCAUUAAAUAACACUCAAUAUAACUUAUAAUAAUAGCCCAAAUUAUUAUUUUAAGGACCUUAUAAAGUUACUAUAGUUAAAUAAAAG